AAAACCAUUAAUGAACUUUGCGCUUAACAUCAUUUUGGAAGUGUUUUUCCUUAGCUGGGUGUUGAUACUUCUUUCUGUAUGAUAAUGGCCAUAGAUGAUUGUUUUUACUGUAUAGAGAGAUCUUUCAGUGACCACUAAGCUCUAUGUCUGGCCUUGUAUUGAUUCUCAACAGCUUGCGACUUAUAUAAAUUCCGUCAUGUUAACGUGUUGCAUGUAAUUAUAGUUUUGUUACCUUUGUCUUUCUCUGUAAAAACCUUCAUGACUGACGUUUUCCAUUCUGUUCCAUCACCUCUGCAGGGAAAAGUGAGUAUCGCGGUGAAAUCUGGUGUGAAAUUGGAAAUACCAGAUGGAGUCGUUCUUCAGAACAAGGAAAUUAAUGGCCCGGAGGACCUCUAAGAAAGUUGCCUGGCGCAACAACAAGUUGAAGAAAAACUUCGAGCAGCCUUGCUUUCGUGUGGCAAUUCCCUUGUAUUUUGCUAGAACAAUAAGAGAUGAAUUCAGUUUGCAGUUGUCUGAAUCUAGAAAUCAUCUUGCAGCACAUUAGUCUUCCUUGUUUAUUACAAGAACUGACAUACAUGAGGUUGUGAAA